AGAGUUUGAUCCUGGCUCAGAACGAACGCUGGCGGCAGGCUUAACACAUGCAAGUCGAACGAGAAGCUCACUUCGGUGAGUGGAAAGUGGCAGACGGGUGAGUAACGCGUGGGAAUAUACCUUUCGGUACGGAACAACAGUUGGAAACGACUGCUAAUACCGUAUGCGCCCUACGGGGGAAAGAUUUAUCGCCGAAGGAUUAGCCCGCGUUGGAUUAGCUAGUUGGUGGGGUAAAGGCCUACCAAGGCGACGAUCCAUAGCUGGUCUGAGAGGAUGAUCAGCCACACUGGGACUGAGACACGGCCCAGACUCCUACGGGAGGCAGCAGUGGGGAAUAUUGGACAAUGGGCGCAAGCCUGAUCCAGCCAUGCCGCGUGAGUGAUGAAGGCCCUAGGGUUGUAAAGCUCUUUCAACGGUGAAGAUAAUGACGGUAACCGUAGAAGAAGCCCCGGCUAACUUCGUGCCAGCCGCCGCGGUAAUAC
rnacentral:rRNA from 1 species